GUGUCAGCAGCCGCGGUAAUACAGAGGUCCCAAGCGUUGUUCGGAUUCACUGGGCGUAAAGGGUGCGUAGGUGGUGAGGUAAGUUUGAUGUGAAAUCUCCGGGCUCAACCCGGAAAUGGCAUUGAAUACUAUCUCGCUUGAGAGUCGGAGGGGGGACUGGAAUACUUGGUGUAGCAGUGAAAUGCGUAGAUAUCAAGUGGAACACCAGUGGCGAAGGCGAGUCCCUGGACGACUUCUGACACUGAGGCACGAAAGCUAGGGGAGCAAACAGGAUUAGAUACCCUGGUAGUCC
rnacentral:rRNA from 1 species